ACUCCUACGGGAGGCAGCAGUGGGGAAUAUUGCACAAUGGGCGCAAGCCUGAUGCAGCCAUGCCGCGUGUAUGAAGAAGGCCUUCGGGUUGUAAAGUACUUUCAGCAGUGAGGAGGUGGAUAGUCGUUAAGUACGCGGCCUUCAUUUGACGUUUAGCUGCAGAAGAAGCACCGGCUAACUCCGUGCCAGCAGCCGCGGUAAUACGGAGGGUGCGAGCGUUAAUCGGAAUUACUGGGCGUAAAGCGCAUGCAGGUGGUUUGUUAAGUCAGAUGUGAAAGCCCGGGGCUCAACCUCGGAAUUGCAUUUGAAACUGGCAGACUAGAGUACUGUAGAGGGGGGUAGAAUUUCAGGUGUAGCGGUGAAAUGCGUAGAGAUCUGAAGGAAUACCGGUGGCGAAGGCGGCCCCCUGGACAGAUACUGACACUCAGAUGCGAAAGCGUGGGGAGCAAACAGGAUUAGAUACCCUGGUAGGCUACCCU
rnacentral:rRNA from 1 species